AUAACUUUAGAUUAACUAUAUAUAAUGGCAUAAUUUUUAAAUUGCCUUAAGGCAAUUCAUAACUUUAGACCGACAUUGUAAGAGUCAACCCAUCUUGUGGUUUAAUACUCUUUUUCUUACUACGAAAUAUUUUUCUACGAAUUACUAAUAUUGUUUUAUUUAUUUUGUGAAGUUUCUCAUUUCUUGAUUUGCACUCAGUUAGAAAAAAGUCCAAAACGUAAAGAACACACGAACAAUUUACUCGGUGUUCACUUCAUUACUCCAAUCCAAAAUAACAGCUAUACUAGGAGGGUUGGAGUUAAGCAACAAUUUACCAA
rnacentral:lncRNA from 1 species